rnacentral:rRNA from 1 species
GCCAGCAGCUAUAUCACCCUGCACUAUCAUCAGCCCACUGAAGCAAAGCAGGUGUGAGCCUGGUCAUUACCUGGAUGGGAGACCUUCUGGGAAAAACCAAGGCUACUGCUGGAA